GUAUGUUUGUUGGCCAAUGCCAGACGUGUAUGUAGUAAUUUGAGAAUCAAAAUGCGAAGUAUUGCUAAAAUUCAUAAAAUUCUUUCCUUAAUAGUACGUUCAACCAUACUAUUCAUGUUUAUCCAAACCACAAUAACCACAACCAUAUGUCGAAAACGUAUCCACUAAACAUUGAAUUCCGUUAAAUAGGAAUUUCGUUUAUUUAGCCCCCGGAGUAAUGAAUAUUCUUCCCUCGGCUAAACAAUCUGCUUUCCAAGCCCGAAGGAAGCAACAAACAGUUCACGGUCACAAACACUCAGCAGCACGCCCUAUCCCUGUCGAGGGCCAUCAGGCCUGGUGCGCAAAAUGGACGUUGGAGGUUCGCAUCACCACACCGCACACGAUCAGUCAGUCAGUCCGUCCUGUUUUGCUUGCUGAUGAUCUUGAACAAGAUCCACAUUCAUUCGAUGCCCCAAACUCGGAUGAUGUCACUCCGAACACGCGUUCUUCGUAGUGACCUUCACCUAAAAGCUUGAACAAGCGAGCGCAACAUCGUUCUUAUCGCAAACGCGUAAUUGUUCUUCAAAACAACCAAACUUUCCCAUUCCUGUUGAUACUUUAUUACCUGUGCACAAAUUUCGCACAAACAUUCCAAUCAGCAACUUCAAAGUAUCGGCAUCAAGCAUUGAUUUCAUCCUAUCCGCAGUAACGCCUCUGAUUAGUCGCCUAAAUCCCCGCAGCAGCGAUAAGGAAAACGUUCGCCGCUCGCAGCUCGUCGGAAUCGCUCCAACCGUCCGUCCGUCCGUCCAGCUGCAGCUUGGGUGUUCAUUAACCUAACAUUUACGGUUCGCCAGAACCAUCGAUAACGCAAAGGGGGGAUUGAUGAUGAUGUCUUGCCGGCCGUCUGGUGCUCGAUACACACACGAUAAGGAUAAAAAUAGAUACCGACCGGCAAUGGGUGCAACACAUCGCCAGAGUGGCGAGCCUGCUCGAGGGUAAAAUGCAAUCAACAGGCAGCCAACCCCCUCCCGUCGCUGGUUGCGGGCUGCUGGCGCGGUUGGAAGGAAAUUGGUGGGAAAUUGCUAUAAUCACCCUUCAUCCCUCACCCCCGUGAUUGCAGCACGAAGCAACGAGCCAGCAAACUGUCCUGAUGCUAGAGCAUCGGUGUACACGAGACCAUUACAUCACCGUUUAACGGCACGUUGAGUGAACGAUACAUAAAAGCUAACAGCGAUACAUCGCAACGUGUAUCAGAGCUUGCCCCUUUGGAAUGAUUGAUCGGAAUCGGUGUCGGUGUUUGGUGUGGUUUGUCCCAUAAACAUGUGAGAUCUUUCAAAACCGUCAAAGUUCUGAAUCUUCUGAGCAAUCUUUCUUUAAUUAUUUCCACUUGAAUUGAGAGUGGCUAUUUUGGCAAUGAGCUGAUAAGCAAAUUUUGCUCUCACCCACUGACACCCACCACUAAACAAUCGAUCAGCAUAUAUGUCUUUUUUGGGGGGCAGUGAGGUUGGUUGGACUAUAAAGAUCACUGACGUUCAAGCGGAAGGUGGCUUUUUGCGAUGAAAUGUCAGCGAUAGCAAAAUCGGAGUGACGGAUGCGAUGGCAGCGCGGCAGUGGGUGAAUGGAAAAAUAAAAUAGCCAUAAUUGAUAAGACUCCUUGGGAAGGCGAAACGAUACAGACCCGUGAGAGUGUGAAUGACGCAGUGUUAUUUUGGACGAUAUUUGCAACUCAUGCCUACAUCCGUAGCAUGAUGUUGGCAGAUCCUUGGUGAGUUUGCUUUGUCAGCAACAAUUGAAUGGGCAUCUAAACAAAAUUAAGACUUUCAUUACAUGCGAUAACAAAAUAAAGCGAUAUCAAUUAAACAA